rnacentral:rRNA from 1 species
AGGGUGUAAACGCUGCAGACUUGGUGUUGGAGGCCCUUUGGGGGGCAUUCAGUGCCGGAGAGAAGUUGUUAAGUCUGCUACUUGGGGAGUACGUCCGCAAGGAUGAAACUUAAAGGAAUUGGCGGGGGAGCACCGCAACGGGAGGAGCGUGCGGUUUAAUUGGAUUCAACACCGUAAACUCACCAGGGAAGACUGUUACAUGAAGGCCGAGAUGAAGACUCUGCUAGAUUUUCAGAGAGGAGGUGCAUGGCGUCAGUGACU